rnacentral:tRNA from 1 species
GCAUUGGUGGUUCAGUGGUUGAAUUCUUGCCUUUCAUUCAAGAGACCCAGGUUUGAUUCCUGGCAGGUGCA